rnacentral:lncRNA from 1 species
GUGGGACCUAAGUCCAAUAUGACUGAUGUCCUUAUAGAAGAGGGAAAUGUGGACACAGACGCAGAGAGACGGCCAUGAGAAGAGGGAGGCAGAGAUUGGAGUUAGACCACGGCCAGCCAAGGACCGCCUGGGGCUCCUGGAAGCUGGGAGAGGCCGGAAGGACCCUCCCCCUGGGCCUCGGAAGCCCGGGGACGCUAAUACCCUCCUCCACAAUACACUUCCGCAAAGAGAGAGGACAUGCCUGUGGCUUUCUUCUCUCAUCUAUGUCUUCGUGGAGAAGCAUCAUCUCUGUGCAGAAUCCAGAGCUCUGGCAGUUUAAAGUGUCCCAUAUUGGUAACAAAAUACAAGGAGGCAUUGGCCAUGCCAUCAACACUGCUCCCUCAUUCCCUCGGGAAGAUGGAAACUGCUGUAGAGGCCAGACAGCAGGCUGGCUGUGCCGCCCAGGAGGCACCACUGACCCGGAGGAGGUAUGGCUGUCCUCUGAGCAUCUCGCAGAGCAGAAGGAAGGGGUCUGUUCCAGCCCCCAAAGAGAAUGAAAACAUCCCUCAC